rnacentral:pre_miRNA from 9 species
CAGGAGCCGCCCUUCCGUGCCUCCAGCACCACGUGUCUGGGCCAUGUGAGCAAGGUCACAUGGGCCCGAUGUGGUGCUGGGGGCGGCAGGGCUCUGCUCU